CCUACGGGCGGCAGCAGUGAGGAAUAUUGGUCAAUGGCCGGAAGGCUGAACCAGCCAAGCCGCGUGAAGGACGAAGGUGCCAAGCAUUGUAAACUUCUUUUGUCAAGGGACAAAAUCAGGCUCGAGAGCCUGACCGAGGGUACUUGAAGAAAAAGCAUCGGCUAACUCCGUGCCAGCAGCCGCGGUAAUACGGAGGAUGCGAGCGUUAUCCGGAUUUAGUGGGUUUAAAGGGUGCGUAGGCGGACUGUUAAGUCAGCGGUAAAAGCCCGGGGCUCAACCCCGGCGAGCCGUUGAAACUGGCUGACUUGAGAUGUCGAGAGGUAUGCGGAAUGCGCAGUGUAGCGGUGAAAUGCUUAGAUAUUGCGCAGAACUCCGAUUGCGAAGGCAGCAUACCGGCGGCGAUCUGACGCUGAGGCACGAAAGCGUGGGUAUCGAACAGGAUUAGAUACCCGAGUAGUC
rnacentral:rRNA from 1 species